CCUACGUGGGACAGCAGUGGGGAAUAUUGCACAAUGGGGGAAACCCUGAUGCAGCGACGCCGCGUGAGUGAAGAAGUAAUUCGUUAUGUAAAGCUCUAUCAGCAGGGAAGAAAAUGACGGUACCUGAGUUAGAAACCCCGGCAAACUACGUGCCAGAAGCCGCGGGCAUAAGUAGGGGGCAAGCGGUAUCCGGAUUUACUGGGUGUAAAGGGAGCGUAGACGGCCGUGCAAGUCUGGAGUGAAAGGCGGGGGCUCAACCCCCGGACCGCUCUGGAAACUGUACGGCUGGAGUGCAGGAGAGGUAAGUGGAAUUCCUAGUGUAGCGGUGAAAUGCGUAGAUAUUAGGAGGAACACCAGUGGCGAAGGCGGCUUACUGGACUGUAACUGACGUUGAGGCUCGAAAGCGUGGGGAGCAAACAGGAUUAGAUACCCUGGUAGUC
rnacentral:rRNA from 1 species